rnacentral:sRNA from 1 species
UUUCCCUGUCUGUUUGCCGACAGACGCAUAUGCUCUAACCCUCAUUGAUCCUAUGUUACCCUUGUUUGCCCGUCCGCCACUGGACGGGCUUUUUUUU